rnacentral:pre_miRNA from 1 species
UGUGUACUCCCUCCGUUCCAAAAUACUUGACUUCCAUUUGUCCAAAAAUGGAUGUACCUAUAUACUAAAACAUGUCUAGAUACAUAUAUAUUUUGACAAAUAGAAGGCAUGUAUUGUGCAACUGAGGGAGUAGAAU